rnacentral:rRNA from 1 species
CUUGAACGCUAGCGGGAUGCUUUACACCUGCAAGUCGAACGGAGUGGCGGACGGGUGAGUAAUAUAUCGGAACGUGCACAGUCGCGGGGGAUAACUCCUCGCAAGAGUGGACAAUACCGCAUAAUAUUGGAGCGGACGAUAUCGGAUUAGCUAGUUGGUGGGGUAAAGGCUCACCAAGGCAACGAUCCGUAGCUGGUUUGAGAGGACGACCAUGCAGACUGCGACUGAGACACGGCCCAGACUCCGACGUGAGGCAGGAGUGGGGCAUUUUGGGCUGUGGGGGAGACCCAGAGCCAGCGAUCCUGCGUGUAGGAUGAAGGCCUUCGGGUCGUAGAGUACGUGUGGCAUACGAUCGGUAUCUGCAGAAUAAGCACCGGGUAACUACGUGCCAGCAGCCGCGGUAAUAC